AUGAAGUCGGAAUUGCUAGUAAUCGCGGAUCAGCAUGCCGCGGUGAAUACGUUCCCGGGCCUUGUACACACCGCCCGUCACACCAUGGGAGUCGGUAACACCGAAGCCGAUAGUCUAACGAAAGAGGACGUCGCCGAAGGUGGGAUUGAUGACUGGGGUGAAGUCGUAACAAGGUACC
rnacentral:rRNA from 1 species